rnacentral:rRNA from 1 species
AGCAGCCGCGGUAAUUCCAGCUCCAAUAGCGUAUAUUAAAGUUGUUGCAGUUAAAAAGCUCGUAGUUGAAUUUCGGGGUUAGUAGGUCGGUCAUGCCACUGGUAUGUACUGGUCUCACUGAUUCCUCCUUCCUGAUGAACCGUAAUGCCAUUAAUUUGGUGUUGCGGGGAGACUGGACUGUUACUUUGAAAAAAUUGAGUGUUUAAAGCAGGCUAACGCUUGAAUACAUUAGCAUGGAAUAAUGAAAUAGGACGUUCGAUCCUAUUUUGUUGGUUUCUAGGAUUGACGUAAUGAUUAAUAGGGAUAGUUGGGGGCAUUAGUAUUCAAUUGUCAGAGGUGAAAUUCUUAGGAUUUAUUGAAGACUAACUACUGCGAAAGCAUUUGCCAAGGNUGUUUCAUUAAUCAAGAACGAAGUUAGGGAUACGAAGACGAUCAGAUACCGUCGUAGUACUUAACCAUAAGCUAUCGACCAACGUAGGGAUCGGAUGGAUUAGUUAAUUUUUAAUGUACUCAGUUCGGC